rnacentral:misc_RNA from 1 species
GAAAUGCGAUAAGUAAUGUGAAUUGCAGAAUUCAGUGAAUCAUCGAAUCUUUGAACGCACAUUGCGCCCGCUAGUAUUCUGGCGGGCAUGCCUGUUCGAGCGUCAUUUCAACCAUCAAGUCUUAGGCUUGUGUUGGGGACCUGCGGCUGCCGCAGCCCCCUAAAAGCAGUGGCGGUCUCGCUGUCAUACCGAGCGCAGUAGUGUAUCUUCGUUCUGGUUGUGGCGGUGGGUGCCGGCCGUGAAACAUCUUUCUAAGGUUGACCUCGGAUCAGGUAGGAAUACCCGCUGAACUUAA